GAUGAACGCUAGCGGCAGGCUUAAUACAUGCAAGUCGAGGGGUAACAUGGGGUAGCAAUACUCUGAUGACGACCGGCAAACGGGUGCGGAACACGUACGCAACUUUCCAAAACUGGUGAAUAGCCCUCCGAAAGGAGGAUUAAUACACCGUAACAUAUAGAGGUGGCAUCGCCUUUAUAUUAUAGCUCCGGCGGUUUUGGAUGGGCGUGCGCCUGAUUAGGUAGUUGGUGUGGUAACGGCUCACCAAGCCUACGAUCAGUAGCUGGUCUGAGAGGAUGAUCAGCCACGUCGGGACUGAGACACGGCCCGGACUCCUACGGGAGGCAGCAGUCGGGAAUAUUGGACAAUGGGGGAAACCCUGAUCCAGCAAUACCGCGUGUGUGAAGAAGGCCUGCGGGUUGUAAAGCACUUUCAGUUGGGAAGGAUAAUGACGUUACCAACAGAAGAAGCACCGGCUAACUACCGUGCCAGCAGCCGCCGGUAAUGUAGA
rnacentral:rRNA from 1 species